AACGAACGCUGGCGGCAUGCCUAACACAUGCAAGUCGAACGAGACCUUCGGGUCUAGUGGCGCACGGGUGCGUAACGCGUGGGAACCUGCCCUUAGGUUCGGAAUAACUCCCCGAAAGGGGUGCUAAUACCGGAUAAUGUCUUCGGACCAAAGAUUUAUCGCCUUUGGAUGGGCCCGCGUUGGAUUAGCUAGUUGGUAGGGUAAAAGCCUACCAAGGCGACGAUCCAUAGCUGGUCUGAGAGGAUGAUCAGCCACACUGGGACUGAGACACGGCCCAGACUCCUACGGGAGGCAGCAGUGGGGGAUAUUGGACAAUGGGCGAAAGCCUGAUCCAGCAAUGCCGCGUGAGUGAUGAAGGCCUUAGGGUUGUAAAGCUCUUUUACCCGGGAUGAUAAUGACAGUACCGUGAGAAUAAGCUCCGGCUAACUCCGUG
rnacentral:rRNA from 1 species